CGCUUCGGCGUGUGACUGCGUACCUUUUGUAUAAUGGGUCAGCGACUUAUAUUCUGUAGCAAGGUUAACCGAAUAGGGGAGCCGAAGGGAAACCGAGUCUUAACUGGGCGUUAAGUUGCAGGGUAUAGACCCGAAACCCGGUGAUCUAGCCAUGGGCAGGUUGAAGGUUGGGUAACACUAACUGGAGGACCGAACCGACUAAUGUUGAAAAAUUAGCGGAUGACUUGUGGCUGGGGGUGAAAGGCCAAUCAAACCGGGAGAUAGCUGGUUCUCCCCGAAAGCUAUUUAGGUAGCGCCUCGUGAAUUCAUCUCCGGGGGUAGAGCACUGUUUCGGCAAGGGGGUCAUCCCGACUUACCAACCCGAUGCAAACUGCGAAUACCGGAGAAUGUUAUCACGGGAGACACACGGCGGGUGCUAACGUCCGUCGUGAAGAGGGAAACAACCCAGACCGCCAGCUAAGGUCCCAAAGUCAUGGUUAAGUGGGAAACGAUGUGGGAAGGCCCAGACAGCCAGGAUGUUGGCUUAGAAGCAGCCAUCAUUUAAAGAAAGCGUAAUAGCUCACUGGUCGAGUCGGCCUGCGCGGAAGAUGUAACGGGGCUAAACCAUGCACCGAAGCUGCGGCAGCGACACUAUGUGUUGUUGGGUAGGGGAGCGUUCUGUAAGCCUGUGAAGGUGUGCUGUGAGGCAUGCUGGAGGUAUCAGAAGUGCGAAUGCUGACAUAAGUAACGAUAAAGCGGGUGAAAAGCCCGCUCGCCGGAAGACCAAGGGUUCCUGUCCAACGUUAAUCGGGGCAGGGUGAGUCGACCCCUAAGGCGAGGCCGAAAGGCGUAGUCGAUGGGAAACAGGUUAAUAUUCCUGUACUUGGUGUUACUGCGAAGGGGGGACGGAGAAGGCUAUGUUGGCCGGGCGACGGUUGUCCCGGUUUAAGCGUGUAGGCUGGUUUUCCAGGCAAAUCCGGAAAACUAAGGCUGAGGCGUGAUGACGAGGCACUACGGUGCUGAAGCAACAAAUGCCCUGCU
rnacentral:rRNA from 1 species